UUAAUUUCAGACAGAGUCGGCUUUACAUCAAGGAAAGUGACCAAAGAUGAUUAUUAUGUAAUAAAGGGGUCAAUUCUCCAAGAAGAUGGAACAAUCCUGAAAUGUAUUUUUGCUAACAAAGCAUCAGAAUGCCAAAGCAAAAACUGAUACACUUCAAGGAGAAGCAAUUAACCCACUAGUAUAGUUGGAGACAUUAACACCCCUUUAUCAGAAAUGGACCAAUUCAGUAGUCAGAAAAUCAGUAAGGACACAAUUGAAAUCGGCAUCGUCAGUCAACUGUAUAUAACUGACGUUUAUAGACUAUUUGCUAUGUUGGGAGUCAUGUCAUACUCCAUCCCACUAGAUAUUAGGGUCAGUGUCACAGCGUGCGUGUACACCUACUACGAUUUUAAAACUAGUAUCAUGCUCUCCGUCACUGGAUAUUAGGAACGACAUCACAGAUUUGUUCCUGAUAUCCGGCGGGGAGAGGAUGAUAUUACUCCCAACAUUGAAGAAAGUGUACACCCCUCUAUGAUGUUAUUCCUAAUAGCCAGGGGGUAGAGGAUAACAUUAUUGAACCUGUCGCAGUGAGUGUACAUCCCCUCGGUUGUCUUGUUUCUUAUAUCCUGGGUGGGAGAGGUUGAUAUGACUCCCAAUGUUGCAGGGCGUGUAGACCUCCCCCGUGAUACUGUCCCUAACAUCUAAAGGUCGAGCGGAUGAUAUUUCUUCCGAUUUCGCAGUGGGUGUACAUCCCCUCUGUGAUAUGAUUGCUACUAUCCAGAGGGCGAGAGGAUGAUAUCAGUCUCAAUAUUGCAGGAGGUGUACACUCCCUAGUGAUAUUGUUCCUAAUAUCCAGGAACGGAGAGGAUGUUGCCCCCAAUAGAGCAGGGGGUGUACACCCCUUCUGUGCCAUUGUUCCUAAUAGCCAGCGGGGGAGAGGAACAUAUUACUCCCAAUAUUGCAGGGGGUGUAUACCUCCUUGUGACAUUGUUUCCUAUGUCCUGGGAGGGAGGCGAUGAUACCAGUGGCAAUAUCGCAGGGGGUGUACACACCCACUGUGAUAUUGUUCUGAAUAUCCAGAGGGAGAGAAAAUGAUAUGACUCCCAAUAUCACAGGGGGUGUACAUCCUCCUGUUAUAUUGUUUCUUAUAUUCAGGGGGAGAGGAUGCUAUGACUCCCAAUAUCACAGGGGUUGUGCACACCUCCUGCGAUAUUGUUCCUAAGAUCCCGAAGGAGAGAGCAUAAUAUUUCUCUCAAUAUCGUAGGGGGUGUACCCCUACUUUGUAAUAUUGUUCUUAAUAUCCACGAUGGGAGACGAUGAUAUGACUCCCAAUAUCGCAAGAAGCGUACAGCCACCUCUGAUAUAGUUCCUAACAUCUAGGUGGGGAGAGGAUGACAUUACUGCCCAUAUCGCACGAGUUGUAAAACCCCUUUGAUAUUUUGCCUACAAUCCUGAGGGGAGAGGAGGAUAUUGCUCCCAAUGUCGAAGAAGGCGUACACCCCCCUGUGACUCUAUGCCCAAUAUCCACGUUGGGAGAUGAUGAUAUUACACCCAAUAUCGCAGGGGAUGUACAGACACACUGGGAUAUUGUUCCUUAUAUCGAGAGGGGGAGAAGAUGCUAUUGCUCCCAAUAACGCAGUGACUGUGGCUGUACACCCCUCCUGUGAUACAGUUCUUAAUAUCCUAGAAAAGAGGAUGAUACUACACCCAAAAUCGCAGGGGAUGUACACCCACCCAGUGAUACUGUUCUUAAUGUACUCCACUUCCCACGACCAGGGAUAUCGCUCCUAAUAUCCAGGGGCAGAAAGGGUAACAUUAUGCCCAAUACUGCGGGGCAGUGUUCACACCCUCUGUGAUGUUGUUCCUAGUAUCCAAAGUUAGAGACGAUGAUAUUACUGGCCAUAUCGCAGGGGGUGUACACCCUUCUGUGAUACUGUUUUUGACAUUCUGUGGGGGAGACGAUAACAUGAAUCCCAAUAUCGCUGAAGGUGUACAGGGGUGGACACCUCUUCAGUGAUAUGGUUCCUCUUAUCCAGGGGGUGAACGGAUGAUAUUACUCCCAAUACAGCCACCCUGGGAUUUUGUCCUUAAUAACCACAGGGGAGAAAUGAUAUUACUACCAAUAUUGCAAGGGGUGUACACCCCUCCUGUGAUAUUGUUUCUUCUAUCCAGGAAAGGAGAAGAUGGUCUUAGUACCAAUAUUGAAGGGAUGGACAGCCCCCAUGGGAUAUUGUUCUAAAGAUACAAGUUGAAAGAAGAUGAGAUUCCAUCCAAUAUAACAAGGGGUGUACACCCCGCCUGUGAUAGGAAUCUUAAAACCUAGAAGAAGAGAGAAUGACAUUGCUUCCAAAAACACAAGGGUUGUACACCCACCCUGUAAUAUUGUUGCUGUCAUCUAAAGGAAGAGAUGAAGAUACUACUCCCACUACCGGAGAAGGAACACACCUGCCUGUGAUAUUAUUCCUCAUAGCUUGUGGGGGAGAGCAUGAUAUUACUUCCAAAAUGACAGUGGCUUGACACCCAGUCUGUGAUAUUGGUUCUGCACACCAACUCUGUGCCCCUCAUUUCCCAUGCGUUCUCUCCUCACUUUUGGAACCUCAGGGGAGGCUUUGCCUUUGGUUACAGAUGAAGAGACGAAGGGUCUGAGAGGUUAAGCAAGUUUGUUACUGGAAAGGGGUCCCGAUCCAAACCCCAAGAGAGGUUUCUUGGAUCUAACAGAAGAAAGAAUUCGGGGCAAGUCCAUAAACUGAGAACGAGUUUAUUAGGAAA